AUUGAACGCUGGCGGCAUGCCUUACACAUGCAAGUCGAACGGCAGCACGGGUGCUUGCACCUGGUGGCGAGUGGCGAACGGGUGAGUAAUACAUCGGAACGUACCUUAUCGUGGGGGAUAACGCAGCGAAAGCUGUGCUAAUACCGCAUACGCCCUGAGGGGGAAAGCGGGGGAUCGCAAGACCUCGCGCGAUUAGAGCGGCCGAUGCCUGAUUAGCUAGUUGGUGGGGUAAAAGCCCACCAAGGCGACGAUCAGUAGCUGGUCUGAGAGGACGAUCAGCCACGCUGGGACUGAGACACGGCCCAGACUCCUACGGGAGGCAGCAGUGGGGAAUUUUGGACAAUGGGGGCAACCCUGAUCCAGCAAUGCCGCGUGAGUGAAGAAGGCCUUCGGGUUGUAAAGCUCUUUUGUCAGGGAAGAAACACCGGCUCUAACACAGUCCGGGAAUGACGGUACCUGAAGAAUAAGCACCGGCUAACUACGUGCCAGCAGCCGCCGCAG
rnacentral:rRNA from 1 species